rnacentral:rRNA from 1 species
GACGAACGCUGGCGGCGUGCUUAACACAUGCAAGUCGAGCGAUGAAGUUCCUUCGGGAAUGGAUUAGCGGCGGACGGGUGAGUAACACGUGGGUAACCUGCCUCAUAGAGGGGAAUAGCCUUCCGAAAGGAAGAUUAAUACCGCAUAAGAUUGUAGUGCCGCAUGGCAUAGCAAUUAAAGGAGUAAUCCGCUAUGAGAUGGACCCGCGUCGCAUUAGCUAGUUGGUGAGGUAACGGCUCACCAAGGCGACGAUGCGUAGCCGACCUGAGAGGGUGAUCGGCCACAUUGGGACUGAGACACGGCCCAGACUCCUACGGGAGGCAGCAGUGGGGAAUAUUGCACAAUGGGGGAAACCCUGAUGCAGCAACGCCGCGUGAGUGAUGAAGGUCUUCGGAUUGUAGAACUCUGUCUUCAGGGACGAUAAUGACGGUACCUGAGGAGGAAGCCACGGCUAACUACGUGCCAGCAGCCGCCGUAAGAC